rnacentral:rRNA from 1 species
AGUGAACGCUGGCGGUAGGCCUAACACAUGCAAGUCGAACGGCAGCACAAGAGAGCUUGCUCUCUGGGUGGCGAGUGGCGGACGGGUGAGGAAUACAUCGGAAUCUACUCUGUCGUGGGGGAUAACGUAGGGAAACUUACGCUAAUACCGCAUACGACCUACGGGUGAAAGCAGGGGACCUUCGGGCCUUGCGCGAUUGAAUGAGCCGAUGUCGGAUUAGCUAGUUGGCGGGGUAAAGGCCCACCAAGGCGACGAUCCGUGGCUGGUCUGAGAGGAUGAUCAGCCACACUGGAACUGAGACACGGUCCAGACUCCUACGGGAGGCAGCAGUGGGGAAUAUUGGACAAUGGGCGCAAGCCUGAUCCAGCCAUACCGCGUGGGUGAAGAGGGCCUUCGGGUUGUAAAGCCCUUUUGUUGGGAAAGAAAUCCAGCUGGCUAAUACCCGGUUGGGAUGACGGUACCCAAAGAAUAAGCACCGGCUAACUUCGUGCCAGCAGCCGCCGUAA